GACGAACGCUGGCGGCGUGCUUAACACAUGCAAGUCGAACGGAAAGGCCCUGCUUUUGUGGGGUGCUCGAGUGGCGAACGGGUGAGUAACACGUGAGUAACCUGCCCUUGACUUUGGGAUAACUUCAGGAAACUGGGGCUAAUACCGGAUAGGAGCUCCUGCUGCAUGGUGGGGGUUGGAAAGUUUCGGCGGUUGGGGAUGGACUCGCGGCUUAUCAGCUUGUUGGUGGGGUAGUGGCUUACCAAGGCUUUGACGGGUAGCCGGCCUGAGAGGGUGACCGGCCACAUUGGGACUGAGAUACGGCCCAGACUCCUACGGGAGGCAGCAGUGGGGAAUAUUGCACAAUGGGCGGAAGCCUGAUGCAGCAACGCCGCGUGCGGGAUGACGGCCUUCGGGUUGUAAACCGCUUUCGCCUGUGACGAAGCGUGAGUGACGGUAAUGGGUAAAGAAGCACCGGCUAACUACGUGCCAGCAGCCGCGGUGAUACGUAGGGUGCGAGCGUUGUCCGGAUUUAUUGGGCGUAAAGGGCUCGUAGGUGGUUGAUCGCGUCGGAAGUGUAAUCUUGGGGCUUAACCCUGAGCGUGCUUUCGAUACGGGUUGACUUGAGGAAGGUAGGGGGAGAAUGGAAUUCCUGGUGGAGCGGUGGAAUGCGCAGAUAUCAGGAGGAACACCAGUGGCGAAAGCGGUUCUCUGGGGCUUUCCUGACGCUGAGGAGCGAAAGCGUGGGGAGCGAACAGGCUUAGAUACCCUGGUAGUCCACGCUGUAAACGGUGGGUACUAGGUGUGGGGUCCAUUCCACGGGUUCCGUGCCGUAGCUAACGCUUUAAGUACCCCGCCCUGGGGAGUACGGCCGCAAGGCUAAAACUCAAAGGAAUUGACGGGGGCCCCGCACAAGCGGCGGAGCAUGCGGAUUAAUUCGAUGCAACGCGUAGAACCUUACCUGGGUUUGACAUGGAUCGGGAGUGCUCAGAGAUGGGUGUGCCUCUUUUGGGGUCGGUUCACAGGUGGUGCAUGCCUGUCGUCAGCUCGUGUCGUGAGAUGUUGGGUUAAGUCCCGCAACGAGCGCAACCCUUGUUCACUGUUGCCAGCACGUUAUGGUGGGGACUCAGUGGAGACCGCCGGGGUCAACUCGGAGGAAGGUGGGGAUGACGUCAAGCCAUCAUGCCCCUUAUGUCCAGGGCUUCACGCAUGCUACAAUGGCUGGUACAGAGAGUGGCGAGCCUGUGAGGGUGAGCGAAUCUCGGAAAGCCGGUCUCAGUUCGGAUUGGGGUCUGCAACUCGACCUCAUGAAGUCGGAGUCGCUAGUAAUCGCAGAUCAGCAACGCUGCGGUGAAUACGUUCCCGGG
rnacentral:rRNA from 1 species